UUUAUGAGGUUCAGAAUAUAAAAAGAAUUUUAAAAAACAUAGAACACGGUUAUAUUCACCGUACGAUAAAGAAACAACGUGACACUUUUUGCGCGCUUA